rnacentral:lncRNA from 1 species
AAAAAGAUUGAAUCCGUCGUUUUUCCAUAUGAGAAGAGACAAAGAGAAUUCUCCAGCUGCUUCUUCAAUCAGCCAUUUUCUUUCAUUUGAAAAGAGAUCAGUCGAAAUUCUCAAGACCAAAAAAAGCUGACCUAAAAGGAACGGAAAAGCUGGCAGCACUGUUCUUCAUGAGAAUUAAAAGCGCCGCAGUACACAAAAACCUGACCUCCCUUGGCUUCGUCCUCUCCACAUCGAUUGAAGCAGCGCCAUUGACGACCAAAAAACGACAUCACUCCUUCACUUCCAUUAUUCUACAUCCCGUUAAUGAAAGCGAGGUUCGGCGAAGUUGUCAUGUUCCGUUCGAGGCUUUCGAUUGUUGGUCCGGUGAGUAGUAGCUCAGUCCAUUUUUGUGAAGGUUUGUUUUGAGAUCUAUUUCAUUCAAUUUUGUUUUUGUUUGUUCUAUUACUAUGUAUAUGAAUACAUACCCUUUUUUUGCUUUUCUUGUGAAGUUUAUAAAAAUGAAGUAUGUUCUCUUACUGCUUGUUUUACUUUCAUUUAGUUAACGAGCUUCAUUAUUGGUUUAGGUAAUAAAUUUCCUACUCAUGUGAUUGCACUGUUUUAUCUUUAAAAAAUAUCAUAUUACAUAUUAGUUUUUAUGUUUGGUGAAUUGGCCGUAAAAGAUGUGUGUUCCUUUUUGUUUGUCAGAACUUAGAUUCUUAUACUACAGUGACUGAAUGGGAUGAGUAAAAUUUUUCGGGCUUAUAUGUGAUUUCAAACAAAUGAUAGAGAUAAAAAAGUUAUGCAACUAUAAUUACACAAAGCGUUAAGAAUGUAUGAACUUAUUGCUGCAUCACUAUUGUUUGUUUGUCGACUCAUGAUAAUUUGAAUGGAUGAAUCACGUUUACAAGUACUUUUUUGUUUAUUGUGAUUUACCUCACCGUGAUUGAGAAAUUAAGCCAUUGAUUCUUAUUUACCACAUUUGAGACUAAGCUAUGUGUGAAACAUAUGAACCUCGUAAUUUGCUUUAGGCGUGUUGAAUAAUAAUUAUCAUGGCUAUUGAAAUCCGGGGGUGCAUUUCAUGUGACCCGGUUCUAAUUUCCAACAAGAUUAAAUAGAACGUGUCGUGAACCACGGGUGCUUUUCAUGUAGCGUGGCUUACGAUAUGUUUUAAAUAACCUUGAAUUUUCCCGAAAUAUUAAAGGCGGCUAAAAAGUGUAAAUGCACAUAGGUCUAAACAUGUAUUAAAAUCAGAUAAUAGGCCAAUUAUAAUAGUUUGAGCGACCGUUCUAGAACCACGGAACCAGGAAAUUCCUAACACCUUCUCCCGGGUUAACAGAAUUCCUUACCCGAAUUUCUGUUUUCGUGGACUAUAGAACAGAUUCAAUCUUUCCUCAAUUCGGGAUUCAAACCGGUGACUUGGGACACCAUAAACUAUCCCAAGUGGAGACUCUGAAUUUAAAAUAAAUAAUUCCGUUUUGAUUGUCACUUUAAGUUGGAAAAAACUCCCUUAUACCCCUUAGCGGGGUGGUAAAAAGGAGGUGUGACAGCCAUAUAGAUUCCUCUGUAUUAUUUGAUCCCGGUUCCACCUUUUCUUAUGUGUCAUCAUACUUUGCUCGUUAUUUGGAUACGCCCUGUGAGUCUCUUAUUUCAUCUGUUCAUGUAUCUAGUCUGGUGGGCGAUACUAUUAUCAUAGACCGUGUGUACCAGUCGUGUGUGGUGACUAUUGGGGAUCUGGAAACCCGAGUGGAUCUUUUACUAUUAUGUAUGGUGGACUUCGGUGUUAUUUUAGGCAUGGAUUGGCUAUCUCCGUGUCGUGCUAUUCUGGGUUGUCAUGCCAAGAUAGUCAUAUUGUCUAUACCUGGUGUGCCAUGAAUUGAGUGGCAAGGUUUGACUAAUUAUGUUCCCAGUAGAGUAAUCUCAUUCUUGAAGGCCCGACGUAUGGUUGGGAAGGGUUGUCUUUCGUAUCUAGCCUUUGUGAGGGAUGUCGGUGCAGAGACUCCCAGGAUUUAUUCUGCUCCAAUUGUGAGGAAGUUUUCUGAUGUGUUUCCUACAGACCUGUCGGGCAUGCCACCUGACAGUGAUAUUGAUUUUGGUAAUGACCUGGUGCCGGGCACUCAGCCCAUUUCUAUUCCUCCGUAUCGUAUGGUACCUGCGGAGUUGAAGGGGUUAAAGGAGCAGCUUCAAGAACUCCUGGAUAAGGGGUUCAUUCGGCCUAGUGUGUCACCUUGGGGUGCGCUGGUUCUAUUUAUGAAGAAGAAGGAUUUCACUAUGAGGAUGUGCAUUGAUUAUAGGCAGUUGAACAAAGUAACAGUUAAGAACAAGUAUCCUUUGCCUCGCAUUGAUGAUUUAUUCGACUAGCUUCAGGUAGCGAGAGUGUUCUCCAAGAUUGAUCUCUGUUCAGGUUAUCACCAGUUGACGAUCAGGGACUCGGAUAUCUUUAAGACAACUUUUAGGACUCGAUAUGGUCAUUAUGAGUUCUUGGUGAUGUCUUUUGAGCUGACCAAUGCCCCAACAACGUUCAUGCAUUUGAUGAACAACAUGUUCUGUCCUUAUCUCAACUCGUUUGUCAUAGACUUCAUUGAUGAUAUUUUGGUGUAUUUGCAUAGUCAGGAAGAGCACGUGAAGCGUUUGAGAGUUGUGUUGCAGAUAUUGAGAGAGGAGAAGCUUUAUGCAAAAUUCUCCAAGUGUGAGUUUUGGCUCAGUUCAGUGGCUUUCUUGGGGCAUGUGGUCUCCAGCGAGGGUAUUCAGGUUGAUUCGAAGAAGAUAAAGGUUGUUCAGAGUUGGCCCGGACCGUCCUCAGCCAUAGAUAUUCACAACUUUCUUGGUUUGGCGGGUUAUUACCGCCAGUUUGUUUAGGGAUUCUCAUCUAUCGCAUCGCCCUUUACCAUGUUGACUCAGAAGGGUGAUUCAUUUGUAUGGUUGGAUUAGUGUCCGAAGAGCUUUCAGAAGCUCAAGACAGCCUUGACCACAGCUCUAGUGUUAGNNNNNNNNNNNNNNNNNNNNNNNNNNNNNNNNNNNNNNNNNNNNNNNNNNNNNNNNNNNNNNNNNNNNNNNNNNNNNNNNNNNNNNNNNNNNNNNNNNNNNNNNNNNNNNNNNNNNNNNNNNNNNNNNNNNNNNNNNNNNNNNNNNNNNNNNNNNNNNNNNNNNNNNNNNNNNNNNNNNNNNNNNNNNNNNNNNNNNNNNNNNNNNNNNNNNNNNNNNNNNNNNNNNNNNNNNNNNNNNNNNNNNNNNNNNNNNNNNNNNNNNNNNNNNNNNNNNNNNNNNNNNNNNNNNNNNNNNNNNNNNNNNAUUUAUGCUUCUCGUCAGUUGAAGUCCCCAUGAGAAGAACUACACCGUUCAUUGAUUUGGAGUUGGCUUCCAUAGUUCACGCGUUAAAGAUUUGGAGGCAUUACUUGUAUGGUGUGUCUUGUGAGGUGUUUACUGAUCAUCGUAGCCUUUAGCAUUUGUUCAAGCAGAAGGAUCUCAAUUUGAGGCAGCGGAGAUGGUUGGAAGGCCAAUGUGGUGGCCAAUAUAUGGUGUGUCUUGUGAGGUGUUUACUAUCUUGUACCAUCCGGGGAAGGCCAAUGUGGUGGCCGAUGCCUUGAGUUGAAAGGCGGUAAGUAUGGGGAGUUUUGCAUAUAUUCCAGUUGGGGAGAGACCUCUUGCAGUUGAUGUUCAGGCCUUGGCCAAUCAGUUCGUGAGGUUAGAUAUUUUGGAGCGCAGUCAGGUAUUGGCUUGUGUGAUUUCUCAGUCUUCCUUAUACGAUCACAUCAAAGAGUGCCAGUAUGAUGAUCUACAUUUGCUUGUCCUUAAGGAUAGAGUUUAGCACGAUGAUGCCAGAGAUGUGACCAUUGGUGAUGAUGGGGUGUUGAGGAGUCAAGGCUGGAUAUGUGUGCCCAAUGUAGAUGAGCUUCGAGAGUUGAUUCUGGAGGAGGCCCACAGCUCACGGUAUUCCUUUCAUCCGGGUGCCGCAAAGAUGUAUCAGGAUUCGAGACAACAUUAUUGGUGGAUGAGAAUGAAGAAAGACAUUGUGUGAUUUGUAGCUCGGUGUCUCAACUGUCAGUAGGUGAAAUAUGAGCAUCGGAGACCGGGUGGCUUGCAUCAGCAGAUGGAUAUUGCGGAGUGGAAGUGGGAGCGGAUCACCAUGGACUUCGUAGUUUGGCUCUCACGGACCUUGAGGAAGUUCGACGCUAUUUGGGUGAUUAUGGAUCGGCUGACCAAGUCCGCGAACUUCAUUCCUGUAUGUACUACCUAUUCUUCAGUGAGGUUGGCAGAGAUCUAUAUCUGUGAGAUUAUUCGUUUGCAUGGUGUCCCAAUUUCUAUCAUUUUAGAUAGGGGCACUUAGUUUACUUUACAGUUUUGGAGGUCUAUGCACCAAGAGUUGGGUACUCAGGUUGAGUUGAGCACAACUUUUUACCCUUAGAUGGACGGACAGUCCGAGCGCACUAUUCAGAUAUUGGAGGACAUAUUGCGUGCUUGUGUUAUUGAUUUUGGAGGGUCAUGCGAUCCAUUUCACCGCUUGCAUAGUUUGCUUAUAACAACAGCUACUAGUUGAGUAUUCAGAUGGAUCCAUAUGAGGCUUUGUAUGGUAGGCGGUGUAGAUCUCCAGUUGGUUGGUUUGAGCCGGAUGAGGAUAGGCUAUUGGGGAAUGACUUGGUGCAGGAUGCUUUAGAAAAGGUGAAGGUAAUUCAGGAGAGGCUUCGUACAGUGCAGUCGAGACAAAAGAGCUAUGCUGAUAGGAAGGUUCGGGAUGUGUCCUACAUGGUUGGUGAGAAGGUUGUAUUGAAGGGUUCGCCUAUGAAGGGUUUUAUGGGAUUUGGGAAGAAGGGUAAAUUGAGUUCUCGGUUCAUUGGGCCUUUUGAGGUGCUUUGGAGGAUUGGGGAGGUAUCUUAUGAGCUUUCUUUGCCAUCUAGCUUGUCGAGUAUGCAUCCGGUAUUUCAUGUUUCUAUGCUCCAGAAGUAUAUUAGGGACCUGUCUUAUGUUAUGGAUUUCAGCAUGGUUCAGUUAGAUGAUUAUUUGACUUAUGAUGUGGAACCAGUAGCUAUUUUGGGGCGUUUGGUUCGAAAGUUGAGAUCAAAGGAUAUAUCUUCAGUGAAAGUGCAAUGGGCCGGCCCGUGGAGGAGGCUACCUGGGAGACCGAGCGGCAGAUGCGGAGCAGAUAUCCCCACCUGUUUGAGGCUUCACGUAUGUUUCUUGACUCGUUCGAUGACGAACGUUUGUUUAAGAGGGGGAUGAUAUGACGACCUGACCAGUAAUCUCUUGAGUUACCGCUCCGUUUCUCCUAUUUCUGCUUCUUAUUGCUUUGUUUAUCGGUUCUAUAUGUGAUCGGGUUGGUUGUUUCGGGUUCAGAGAGGUUUUGAGAAGGUUUGAGACACUUAGUCUCUUUUGAGGAAGCUUAAGUUGGAAAAGUCAACUGGAGGUUCAGAUAGCUUCGGGAGGUGAUUUGGGACUUAGGAGCAUGAUCAAAAUGUGUUUUGGAGGUCCGGAGUAGAUUUAGGCUUGAAUUGGCGAAAUUGGAUUUUUGAAUUUUUUUGGUUGAUAGGUGAGAUUUUGAUAUAGGGAUUGGAUUGGAAUUCCAAAAGUUGUAGCAGUUGCGUUGUGUCAUUUGGGAUGUGUGUGCAAAAUUUUAGUUCAUUCGGACAUGGUUUGGUAGGCGUUUUGAUCAAAAGCGUAUUUUAGAAGAUUUUGGAAUUCUUAGGCUUGAUUCCGAUGCGAAUUUGGUGUUUUGGUGCCGUUUUGAGCAUUUCGAAGAUUGAAAAAAGUUUGAAUGAUGUUAUGGGAUAUGUUGGCAUGUUUGGUUGAGGUCCCGGGGGCCUCGGGUGAGUUUCGGGUGGUCAAUCGGACCAUUUCAUGUUUUGGAGAAUUGUAGAAAAUCUGUUGGAGUGUUGCAGAAAAGUUGACCUUCGCGUUCGCGAGUGGGCCCUUGCAUUCGCGAAGGGUUAGCAGGUGAGGCUGAGGAUUUAGCCUUCACGUUCGUGAGGGAGGCUCGUCGUUCGCGAAGGGCUGGGGUCUUGUGCAUCGCGUUCGCGAGGUAAUGCUGCGUUCACGUAGAGGAAAGUUGAGCGGCUGGGUUGAGGUUGAUUUGUUCUUCGCGUUCGAGGUGAGUUAGGGAGCUAAGCCUUUGCAUUCGCGAGAUAGGUGUCGCGAUCACGAUGAAGGAAUUUCGAUCUAAGUAAGUUUGUGCUUCGCGAACGCGAGGCGUUGACCUCGUUCGCGAAGAAGGAUUUGAUGCCUGGGCAGAAUGUUUAAAUAGCCAUUUGGUCAGCGAUUUAUGGGUUAACUUCCACCAUUUUUGAGCGAUAUUAGAGCUUUUUGAAGAGGAUAACACAGGGAUUCAAGGGGAAAUACUUGGAGGUAAGAUUUAUGGACUUAAUUCUCGAUUCUAAUGUGGAUUCUACCUAAUUAAUCAUGGAAUUUAAGCUUAAUAUUGAAGAACUAGGGCUUGUAAUUGGAGACCUAGAAUUUGGGAUUUGAGGGGUCGUUUGUGGUUGGAUUUUGAUGCUUUUGGUAUGAAUGAACUCGGGGAGUGAUUUGAUUUCUUUCGAGUGAGCUUUGUUACCUUAGCAUAUUUUGAUGGUUUUGCACUGAUUUUGGUUAGAUUUGGAGCAUCCGGAGACCGAUUCGAGGGGCAAAGUCAUCGCGACCUAGAGAUUUGGACCAGGUAGAGGUGAGUAAUGAUUGUAAAUAUUGUCCUGAAGGUAUGAAACCCCAGAUUUGCACAUCGUGGUGCUAUAUUGAGGUGACACACACGCUAGAUAAUGAGCGUGGGGUCGUGCACCAUUGGGGAGUGUGACUUAUCCAUCCCGAAUGACUGUUUUACCAUGUAUUUGAUUGAAAACUAUUUGCUAUCAUCAUGUUUUGGGCUAAAUGCCAUAUUUGGGCCUCGUGCCAAUCAUUUGAACCCUUAGGGGAUCUUUACUGAUAUUUCCGCACUAUUUUGACUUUAUACUUGUACUCAGUCAUGCUAUAUUCUUUUGUUUUUCUAACUCAACCAUGUUUACUUUGUUUUAAACAUUAAAUGAUAUUUUCAAUGAUAAAUUGGGUUGAGCAUCAUGUUUUACUAUUGCCCGAGUGACUUAUGAGAUUCUAACUGAGUAAGGCCGAGGGUCUGUGUGUGAGGAUACACUGAUUAUGAUUAUGAGGCCGAGGGCCUGAGUUGUACGCCACGAGGUGGCUUGAUAUGAGGCCGAGAGCCUAUUGAUUAUGCCACGAGAUGACUUGAUAGUGCGCUUGGGCCAUAAGGGGCCCCUGCAGAAGUCUGCACACCCUAGUGAGCGCUGGUACCCCCUAUGAUAUGAGAUAUAGCCCGAGGGGCUGGUAUUGUUCCAUGUGUUGCCUGAGGGGCCGGAGCUGUGGGUAUUGUGCUCGAGGGGCGCUUCUUUAUGUGAUUAUCUUUUCUAGUUGCCUGUCAUUUACUUGCUUAACUGUUAGAAAGGCAUUUCAAAGAAGUUUAAACUGAACUAAAGUGACCUUACAUAUUUUCAUUAUUUUAUUACUUUUACUGGCCUUUAAUGCUUCUUUAUAGCCUCCUGAUAUGCCUUUACGGACUUCUUAUUACUCAGCCUACAUUUAUUGUUAUUACUCACUAAUUUGGAGUACUCACUUUACUCCCUACACCCCGUGUGCUGAUUCAGGCGCAUCAGGUCCUGCUUGCGAGGGUUGAGAGCUUCUGGCAGACUUCAGAGAUUCACUAAGUAGCUGCUCGGCAUUUGCAGCCCAGUGCUUCUCCCUUUAUCUUUCUUUCUCCUGUUUUAGUUAUGUAAUAGUUGUGUAGACUCUUUUCAGACUUGUAGUUUUUAUGAUAGAUGCUCAUGACUGGUGACACCCCGAUGCUGGGCUAUGUCUAUUCCACAAUCUGUACUAUUUAUCUUAUUUUGGGAUUAUUAUCAUUAUGUUAAAGACUUAGUUUUUAUUAUUUAAUUGCUUAAA